UAGGGAAUUUUGGACAAUGGGCGAAAGCUUGAUCCAGCAAUGCCGCGUGUGUGAAGAAGGCCUUCGGGUUGUAAAGCACUUUUGUCCGGAAAGAAAUCCUUGGCUCUAAUACAGUCGGGGGAUGACGGUACCGGAAGAAUAAGCACCGGCUAACUACGUGCCAGCAGCCGCGGUAAUACGUAGGGUGCAAGCGUUAAUCGGAAUUACUGGGCGUAAAGCGUGCGCAGGCGGUUUGCUAAGACCGAUGUGAAAUCCCCGGGCUCAACCUGGGAACUGCAUUGGUGACUGGCAGGCUAGAGUAUGGCAGAGGGGGGUAGAAUUCCACGUGUAGCAGUGAAAUGCGUAGAGAUGUGGAGGAAUACCGAUGGCGAAGGCAGCCCCCUGGGCCAAUACUGACGCUCAUGCACGAAAGCGUGGGGAGCAAACAGGAUUAGAUACCCUGGUAGUCCACGCCCUAAACGAUGUCAACUAGUUGUUGGGGAUUCAUUUCCUUAGUAACGUAGCUAACGCGUGAAGUUGACCGCCUGGGGAGUACGGUCGCAAGAUUAAAACUUAAAGGAAUUGACGGGAUC
rnacentral:rRNA from 1 species